AGGGCUUAUCGGACUCCAAUUUCCAAAGCUAAGCGAGGAGGAUAUAAGGAUACUCCAGCUGAUGAUUUACUUGCAGUUGUUUUAAAGGCCAUGAUAGAGAAAACAAAUCUGGACCCAAGUGAAGUUGGGGAUAUAGUUGUUGGUACUGUUUUGCCACCUGGUUCACAAAGAGCAACAAAGUGCAGAAUGGCAGCAAUCUAUGCUGGUUUUCCUGAAAAAGAAAAUCUCUAUUUCACCAUUGAAGAUCUGCCCCUACUUGCUUCUCUUCUGGUCAUCUUGAGUGUCUCUAGUCAUCUCUAAAGUUCUUGGUCAACUAUGUCUCAUAGUCUACUCUAUUGGAAGGGUUCUUAAAAGCUUGAGAAAUUGGUCUACCUGUGUUGUCUUCUUAUGUAACUGAAGUUGUUUCAUGAGUUUCAAAAGCUUGAUUCAUGAAUUGGAUUGCUUACUUCUUCAUGCAGAAAAUGGGAUCAAUAGCAGAUGAAUUGGAUCCAUGUUGAACAAUUGG